rnacentral:rRNA from 1 species
GGUGCUCGAGUGGCGAACGGGUGAGUAACACGUGAGUAACCUGCCCUUGACUUUGGGAUAACUUCAGGAAACUGGGGCUAAUACCGGAUAGGAGCUCCUGGCUGCAUGGUGGGGGUUGGAAAGUUUCGGCGGUUGGGGAUGGACUCGCGGCUUAUCAGCUUGUUGGUGGGGUAGUGGCUUACCAAGGCUUUGACGGGUAGCCGGCCUGAGAGGGUGACCGGCCACAUUGGGACUGAGAUACGGCCCAG